rnacentral:Y_RNA from 1 species
AGUUGGUCUGACUGUAGUGGUGUUUACAACUAAUUGAUCACAACCAGUUACAGAUGCCUUUGCUCCUUCUUCAUUCCCACUGCUUCUCUUGACCAGCCUUCA